rnacentral:rRNA from 1 species
GUGGGGAAUAUUGGGCAAUGGGGGAAACCCUGACCCAGCAACGCCGCGUGAAGGAAGAAGGUUUUCGGAUCGUAAACUUCUAUCCUUGGUGAAGAUAAUGACGGUAGCCAAGAAGGAAGCCCCGGCUAACUACGUGCCAGCAGCCGCGGUAAUACGUAGGGGGCAAGCGUUGUCCGGAAUGAUUGGGCGUAAAGGGCGCGUAGGCGGCCUGGUAAGUCUGGAGUGAAAGUCCUGCUUUUAAGGUGGGAAUUGCUUUGGAUACUGUCGGGCUUGAGUGCAGGAGAGGUAAGCGGAAUUCCCGGUGUAGCGGUGAAAUGCGUAGAGAUCGGGAGGAACACCAGUGGCGAAGGCGGCUUACUGGACUGUAACUGACGCUGAGGCGCGAAAGUGUGGGGAGCAAACAGGAUUAGAUACCCUGGUAGUCC